UACGUAGGGUGCAAGCGUUAUCCGGAAUUAUUGGGCGUAAAGAGCUCGUAGGCGGUUUGUCGCGUCUGCUGUGAAAACUGGGGGCUCAACCCCCAACCUGCAGUGGGUACGGGCAGACUAGAGUGCGGUAGGGGAGAUUGGAAUUCCUGGUGUAGCGGUGGAAUGCGCAGAUAUCAGGAGGAACACCGAUGGCGAAGGCAGAUCUCUGGGCCGUAACUGACGCUGAGGAGCGAAAGCAUGGGGAGCGAACAGG
rnacentral:rRNA from 1 species